rnacentral:rRNA from 1 species
AUGAGCGACAAUCUCAUGGAAAAAGUGAACGCUCUCGGCGAGCGCCUCAAGAUCACCGGGUCGGAGGUGAGCAAGCAGAUGCAGGCCGGCAUGAGCUCCAUGAGCUUCAAGAUGAAGGAGCUCUUCCAGGCGCAGACUCCGGCCGACAAGAUCGUCGAGGACGCUACCGCCGAGACCCUCGAGGGGCCCGACUGGGCCGCCAACCUCGAAAUCUGCGACCUGAUCAACACCGAGAAGGUGAACAGCGUCGACCUGAUCCGCGGGAUCAAGAAGCGGAUCAUGCUCAAGGAGGCUAGGGUUCAGUUCCUCGCCCUCUUCCUCCUCGAGACCAUCGUCAAGAACUGCGAGAAGGCCUUCUCCGAGGUUGCGGCCGAGAGGAUUCUAGAUGAGAUGGUCAGGCUGAUUGAUGACCCCCAGACGGUGGUCAAUAACAGGAACAAGGCCCUUACGCUCAUUGAGGCGUGGGGAGAGUCUGGCGAUGAGCUCCGCUACUUGCCGGUCUAUGAGCAAACCUACAAGAGCCUGAAAUCAAGAGGAAUUCGGUUUCCUGGACGUGACAAUGAGAGCCUGGCCCCCAUAUUUACUCCACCACGCUCUGUUGCUGAAGCUGAAGUUGCUGCAAAUUUCUCCCAGCAGACAUUCGAAGAUGUACAUGUGCAUACAUAUACUGCUGAAGAAACAAAGGAAGCUUUCGAUGUGGCCCGUAACAGCAUGGAACUUCUUUCAACUGUUCUUUCAUCCUCCCCUCAGCAGGAUGCUUUGCAGGAUGACUUAACAACCACUCUUGUGCAACAAUGCUACCAAUCUCAACACACUAUCCAGAGAUUCAUCGAGACGGCUGGAGACAAUGAGGCCUUGCUCUUUGAGGCCUUGAGUGUGAAUGAUGAGGUCCUGAAAGUGCUAUCCAAAUACGAAGAGAUGAAGAAGCCUAUGGCGUCGGCACGUACAGAACAGCCAGUGGUCAUACCAAUUGCCACGGAGCAUGAAGAUUCCGUGACUGUUGGCAAUGAGGAUGCCCUGGUCAGAAAACCAGCUGCUGCUCGAGCAAUGUCAGGCGGCGAUGAUGAUAUCCUCGAUGAUCUUGACGAGAUGAUAUUUGGCAAGAAGGGGGGCAGUAGUUCCCAGGACGUGUCCAAAAGGCAGGACCCAAAGAAGGAUGACCUAAUCAACUUCUAA